ACACGCUCACGUGGUUAUACACAGACGCAAUCAUGAACGCGGGAAAAUUAGUAGUAUUGAGUAUUUGUGAUCGCGCAAUUGGAAUAACAAUUUCGUCAGAAAUCGUAUCUGUGAAGGUUGUUUGAUAAAGGGGACGGAAGUACAAAAGCGACAGCCGUGGGGGUUGUUACGAGUUUGUUCCAUUCGACAGGAGUUUGCGGAGCAAUAAUUAGAUCAACCCCACGGAGAAAGCGUGGACGAAAGGGGAUAGCUUUGGUGGGGAUAAUUAGAGUGGCGAGGGUGAAUCUUGGCUCCGAUGUUCCACGCGAAGAAAGUAGGACUCUCGCGAUUGUUCCGCGAAAAUCUUUCAGAAUGUCGAUGAAAACUGGAUGGGCGAGAUUUGGGAAGUUGUUGGUAGAAACGCGAUGGGAAUAUUUAUUUUAUGAUUUUUGUGAAUUAUGA